GACAAAUCGUUAUGGGAAGUUUAUAAAGUAACGGAAGUGUGCGCCAUGUCGUCCUAAUUUUAUGAAAAUGGCGGCGCCGGUCUUUCCGCUGUGAACGUUUUCAGCACGAUGCUCAGUGUACUGUGUUGAGUUAUUAUAACGCAUAUUUAAUUCGAAUAAUUACAAUGGACGAAGUUGUAGAAUUGGACGAUUGCGAUCAAAAAGAGGAAAGAGCUCAUUUCCAAGCGCCUGCAAUACAACAUAAUCCUGAUGGCUGGGGUCCGUGCGAAUUGCCAGAUCAAUUUAAGGAUAUCCCCUAUCAACCAUUCUCCAAAGGAGACAGGCUAGGAAAAAUCUGCGAUUGGACUGCUCCAGCAUUUCAAGAUAAGAAAUUUCCAAACAAAUAUACUUCUCAAUUUGGCUCGGGAAGUCAAUAUGCUUAUUAUCAUGACGAGGAUGAAAGUACAUUCCACCUUGUGGAUACAACCAGAGUGCAAAAACCACCUUACCAACGUGGUAGGUUCAGGCACAACCAGCGUAACUUGCGUGGGCGUGGAGGUCAACGUGGUGCAUUGAGUCAAAUGCUGCAGCUUGCUAAACUAAAGUUACGCGAACGCGAACGCAAGGGACAAACUAAACGUUGGGGUAGACAACAAGGAUUGAGAAAUCAUAAAAAUCAACCACCCAUUAAGAUUCGGGAUGCUUCUGUUACCGUAAGACCAGAUUGGAUGACCAUAGAAGAAAUGGAUUUCCCAAGAUUAGCCAAACUUUCAUUGCCCAGUGUUAAAGAUGGCGAGGACAUACUAUGUUGUGGAUCAUUAGAGUAUUAUGACAAAACUUAUGACAGAGUUAAUGUCAAGAACGAGAAACCAUUGCAAAGAAUCGAUCGUAUUUUCCAUACUGUAACUACCACCGACGAUCCUAUUAUUCGUAAAUUAUCGAAAACCGAAGGCAACGUCUAUGCUACUGACGCGAUACUCGCUACGAUUAUGUGUUGCACUCGUAGCAAUUAUUCAUGGGAUAUAGUGAUUGAAAAAAUUGGAGACAAGUUAUUCUUUGACAAACGAGAUAAUACCGAAUUCGAUCUUUUAACUGUCAACGAGACUAGCGUAGAACCACCCCAAGAUGAUGGAAAUUCAUUAAAUUCGCCAAGAAAUUUGGCGUUAGAGGCAACGUUUAUCAAUCAUAAUUUCUCCCAACAAGUGCUUAAAUCCAAUGAACCACGUUACAAGUUCGACGAAGGAAAUCCAUUUAUUUCCGAGGAGGAAGAAAGUGAUGUAGCUAGCGUAGCAUAUCGCUAUCGUAAAUAUGAUCUUAACAAUGGUAUCGUAUUAGUUGCUCGGUGCGAACACGACGCCGUGAUGCAAGGCCCGAAUAACGAAACACAAUUUUUAACCAUCAAGGCACUGAACGAAUGGGAUUCUAAACUUGCAAAUGGUGUCGAGUGGCGUCAGAAAUUAGAUACCCAACGUGGUGCAGUACUAGCUAAUGAACUUAGAAAUAAUGCUUGCAAAUUAGCCAAGUGGACCGUUCAAGCGAUAUUAGCCGGAUCGGAUCAGUUGAAAUUCGGAUACGUUUCACGUGCUAUCGUACGUGAUUCUAGCAAACACGUAAUCCUUGGUACCCAACAAUAUAAACCCAAUGAAUUUGCCACUCAAAUUAAUUUGAAUAUGGAUAAUGCUUGGGGCAUAUUGAGAUGUAUUAUUGAUAUUUGUAUGAAGCAAAAAGAUGGAAAAUACUUGAUUAUGAAAGAUCCUAAUAAGCCUAUGAUUCGUUUAUACGAUAUACCUGAUAAUACCUUCGAGAGCGAAGGUGAAGAAGAUGAGGAUGAAGAUGAACCUACGAACGAUGCAUUCCAAAGUUAACAGAAGAGAACAACAAUCGGCCGAGAAAUCUUAUAUAUCCUGAAUCAUUUCGUCAGCCAAUUACAAUUGCGUACCCGUUAAACGGUGUACUUUUAUUCAAAUUUUCAAAACAAUUUAUAUCGAAUGGUCAAACCUCGUCUUUGUUGUCAGGACAAGAGGAUCCUCAUAAAAAUUUAUGCCGAUGGUUUAUUUGCAUCCUCCAUACGAUUGAUAACAUAUCUGAUUUUACGUAUGGCCGCUUCCAACAUCGUCUCAGUAAUUUCGUGAUACAAGACAAAUCUAACGGUAGUACUUGUUAAAGGCAAA
rnacentral:misc_RNA from 1 species